CGGACGGGUGAGUAAUGUCUGGGAAACUGCCCGAUGGAGGGGGAUAACUACUGGAAACGGUAGCUAAUACCGCAUAACGUCGCAAGACCAAAGAGGGGGACCUUUGGGCCUCUUGCCAUCGGAUGUGCCCAGAUGGGAUUAGCUAGUAGGUGGGGUAACGGCUCACCUAGGCGACGAUCCCUAGCUGGUCUGAGAGGAUGACCAGCCACACUGGAACUGAGACACGGUCCAG
rnacentral:rRNA from 1 species